GAAAAGGCCAAAGUUGAAGAUUUGUUUUGAGUGGAGGGCAUAAAAGACAUUUUACAUCUUUCUUUAUAUAAAAAAAAAGAAAAAGAAAAGAGAAAGGAAAAAAGAAAAAAUUUCUCCCUUCUUCUCCUUCUCCAUUCUUCGAGAGAGAAGUUCAAAAAAACAAAUUUCUUCUUCUUCUUCUUCUUCUUCUUCUUCUCCUCGCCGAUUCCCUCAUCCCAUGGUCCUCUCUUCCUAUUUCUCCAUCGCUCCCUUACACUCACCGUCCUUCUCUUCCAUCGUCUAGCAGCCCAUGGUCGACAGAAGUCCUGUCGCUGCACACUUUUGGUUUUUAUUUCGAUUUGAGCUUCUCAAGAAGAUCUAAGAGACUAGAUCGAAGUAGGGAAGACGCAAAAUCCCGGGGAAUCGAGUAAUUGAUUGUAACAGUCAAGGACCAAGCAUUGGUCGUGCUUUCCUGUCAGUGAUUGUAGUAUCUCGUUUUGUAACAUGUAUAUACUUUAUGUAUUUUAUUCCAUUAUUGGGUGAUUAGAAGAAGCGGUAGUCACAAUGAAAAUUUGAGUCUGUAAUGUCUCUUAUUAGAUUGUUUUUCCUUUGUAACUAAUUUGUAGUUGAAUAUAAACUUUGUUUGGGACUCUGGAUUAUGUUGGACGAGUGUGUGGUGAGACACACUCGAGGAUAUUUUGAAUUUUUGAAAAGUAUAGGAAUGAAUUUAAGAAAGGAAUGAAUUUAAGGAGUGAAUUCACGCCACGAUCUAGGUUAGAGGGGAAAACUUAGAACGGGGUGUGACACUGCCUCUUUAAAGCACUAUCUUGACCUUGACUUUCUCUCAGAAGCUUCAGACAUGGGGUUUGUUUGGUUUUAUGUCCUAAAACUCAUAGAUUAUAAAUAUAAUCCA